rnacentral:piRNA from 1 species
UUAUUUUUUGAGGUGGUUCCAUUUGUAG